rnacentral:rRNA from 1 species
CUGGAGACAGAGUCUGUGGAGAGCUGGACUUGGUUUUUGCAUAAUCUGCGCCGGGCUAUUGCACAUCCCAAUGGGUUGGUCAUUCAUACAGAUGCCUGCAAAGGUUUAGAAGUGGCAGUGGACAAUGUGUUCCCUGGAGUAGAGCAUAGUGAAUGCAUGCGUCACCUUGCUGCAAAUUUCAUGAAGAAAUUCAAAGGAAAGGUGUAUACUGACAAUUUAUGGCCAGCAUCUUUGACUUGCAGUGCGAAGAAGCACAACUACCACUUGAGGCAGUUAUACAUGAAUCCCAAAGUGAAAGAAUACUUGGAAACACACCACUCCAAGUUAUGGGCCAGAAGCCAAUUCAGUGAAGUGAGCAAAGUUGACUAUGUGCACAAUAAUCUAGCAGAGUCUUUCAACUCAAAGAUCUGGAAA